rnacentral:lncRNA from 1 species
UUUCUCGGCUCUUCUCUCCCUCUUUAAAUUUUAUAAUAAUAAUAGAACCCUACCCCAUUUUAAGUGUCUUAACCCUUGAUCACUGAUACCCUGUCCGACUGACGUAGGGCCCCGUAACGUAUGUCAAGGCUCUGCCUAAAUUCGUUGGGGUUCUGUCUCGUGACGUAGGGAUAAAGUAGAAUUGGGUUACUAUACUUAAUGUGGGUACACUAUAUAUUUUAUUAAAUAAUCCAGGAGUUGUACCCAAAAUAUAACAAACCUCCCGAAUAUUUUUCUGAUACCCUACACUUCCUAAAAUACACCCUGUAUGUGAAAACCGAGCCCGAAAUACAAAAUAGCAUUGAAAAUAAAUACAAAACAAGAAAUAAUAAGUUGAGGCGGGCCGCGUAGGACCUCACCUCAACUUAACGCGGGCCGUGUGAGGGUGUAACUUAACUCCGCUGAAUUCUUUAGUUCACGCGGGCCGCGUAUGAUCCCGUUUAAGUUCAUGCGGGCCGCGCGGACUCAUGAAACGCGGAUAUAUCCAGAGGUUGACACGUGUCAUGAUCGUGGCGGUCUAGUGAACGACUCAGCUAAGCUACCCUGUUGACCAGGGUUGACGCGGGCCGCGUAGGCCCUGCCCUAAUAUUACGCGGGCCGCGAGAGAACCAGAUCCAGCCCCUAUAAAUAGAAGCAAUCGGCUGUUCAUUCAGUUCGUUCAGAAUUUAUUUCUUUCUCUCAAUUCUAAAGUGUAGGCAUUAUACGCGGGUAUAAUACCCCCCUAAUUAGCGAAGCUCUGCCUCGUUGUAAGUAUCAUAACCCCUGGAUACGUAUUAGGUACUCUGCCCGAUUGAUCUAGGGUUCCGUAACGGCUGUCGUGGUUCUGCCCGACGUAGUCGUUGGAAUGCCGUCUCGGGGAGGACUAUAACCAGGGAAUCACAAAGGAAAGCCCUAUAAUAGCAAGGUAACUUAGUGUGAAGCCAAUAAAAGCCAGCUGGAGAGCACUGAAGGCUUGGAAAAGUGGCUAUAAAGUUACCUAAAAUAAAAUAGAUGUUUUUAUUAAUAAAAAUAGGAUUUAUUCCUAUGAAAGUGUGUAUACUGAAAACUUGGGUUUUACCCACGUGUUUAAUAUUAUGAAAAUAUGGUGGUUUUACUCUGAUAAAAAUAUUUCCUAACUACGGUCCUGAAGAAAAAUUCCGCUGUCAAAUUGGACAAUACGCGAUACCACCGAAACUGGCUCACGGCCGCCCGUUCCUGAGGGAUCGGGGGUUGUGACAGAAGGUGGUAUCAGAGCUAUGCCACUGGUUCAAGCCAAAGAAGUGUUCUGCUGACACUUAAGUUUUAAAUUCUGUGUUAGGAAAUUAAUAUAACAAUUUAUGUGUUAUUCUGUGUAGAUAAAUCUUAAUAUUUAUAUUAUGGUUUUUAUGUUUUGGAGUUCAGAGUAUGAGUAACCAAUAUGACUAGACGUACCCAUAGGCCACCUCGGCAGAUGUAUUAUACUACAUUCUUAUACAAUUAGUA